UUUGCCCCCGGUUGAGUACGGAAAUACGUGUUUAGCAUCUAGAACAGUUUCCUUAAUUAAGGGUGGCCAAAGUAAGAGCUGCGCGAGGCAAAACGAGCCAUUUCCGAAUGGAUUUGGUUCAGCCAAGUGCAGCGACAGCU
ensembl:snoRNA snoRNA:Psi18S-1275 snoRNA:Psi18S-1275